CACCAAUCAGGCUCUUGAGGACUGGAGUUGCCUACCCCUGCUCUAAAUGUUUAACACAGCCGUUCACUAAGGUUCAUUUUGAAGAGGUGGAUACAGCACAAAUGUUCUUUUCUUUGUUUUUAAAAGGUCUGGUUCCGUGUUAGAUAACCAAAUCACGAGAAAAGCCAAGUAUCCAGUCUGCCAGGCCAGGAAAGCAGCUAUAAGCAGCUCUACCCUUAGAUUUGGCGGUGACGUAGUGUCCCCAUGACUGACAGAACACUGAGCCAAUUACGGCGCAACGAGAGAACAUUACCCAAUCACGGCGCAACUAGAGGACAUUACCAACCACUACGCUCUGUAUUUCCCAUUGUUUGCAAACUGAUAUGUGACACGUAUUAAUGUCAAAAUAACAUGCAAAACAGGCCACCACUCCCCCCCCCCACCAAAAAAAAAAG
rnacentral:lncRNA from 1 species